rnacentral:ncRNA from 1 species
GUCUUGUAUGAAAGGAGAGAAGGUUAGCAAGGUCAAGGUCCCCUUGACAAGAAUGGAAGAGGGCCUUGGGCCUGACAACACACACACACACACACACACACACACACACACACAGACACAGACACACGUUUAAGGCAUUGCCACCUGCUUCGUGGCUUCUAACCAUCGUUUUUU